UACGAAGGGGGCUAGCGUUGCUCGGAAUUACUGGGCGUAAAGCGCACGUAGGCGGCUUUCUAAGUCGGGGGUGAAAUCCUGGAGCUCAACUCCAGAACUGCCUUCGAUACCUGGAAAGCUCGAGUCCGGGAGAGGUGAGUGGAACUGCGAGUGUAGAGGUGAAAUUCGUAGAUAUUCGCAAGAACACCAGUGGCGAAGGCGGCUCACUGGCCCGGUACUGACGCUGAGGUGCGAAAGCGUGGGGAGCAAACAGG
rnacentral:rRNA from 1 species